rnacentral:rRNA from 1 species
AUUGAACGCUGGCGGCAGGCCUAACACAUGCAAGUCGAGCGGCAGCGCGGGGGCAACCCUGGCGGCGAGCGGCGAACGGGUGAGUAAUACAUGGGAAUCUGCCUAGUAGUGGGGGAUAACUCUGGGAAACUAGAGGUAAUACCGCAUACGCCCUACGGGGAAAGGGGGGGAUCUUCGGACCUCUCGCUAUUAGAGGAGCCCAUGUCCGAUUAGCUAGUUGGUGAGGUAAAGGCUCACCAAGGCGACGAUCGGUAACUGGUCUGAGAGGAUGGUCAAUCACACUGGAACUGAGACACGGUCCAGACUCCUACGGGAGGCAGCAGUGGGGAAUAUUGGACAAUGGGGGCAACCCUGAUCCAGCCAUGCCGCGUGUGUGAAGAAGGCCUUC